ACUUCAAGAUGAGCGAGAUGACAAGAGCCAGAAACACCAUUUUGAAAAGUUGCAACUGAGGCCCCUUGGCCGGCAAAUCUGAGCUGCAGAAGCGCCUGAAUUCCGGACGUUAAACCUCCAAUCACCAGCCAGGGCAGCUCCGGCUGGGACAGCGCGGGCGCGCGGCCCCUCCACC